rnacentral:rRNA from 2 species
GACGAAGGAUUCAAGCGUUGUCCGGAUUUACUGGGUUUAAAGGGUGCGUAGGCGGAACUUUAAGUCAGUGGUGAAAGCUCUCGGCUCAACCGAGAAAUUGCCAUUGAAACUGAUUUUCUUGAAUACAGUUGAGGUAGAUGGAAUAUAACAUGUAGCGGUGAAAUGCUUAGAUAUGUUAUAGAACACCGAUUGCGAAGGCAGUCUGCUAAGCUGUUAUUGACGCUGAGGCACGAAAGCGUGGGGAGCAAACAGG